rnacentral:rRNA from 1 species
UACAGAGGUCUCAAGCGUUGUUCGGAUUCAUUGGGCGUAAAGGGUGUGUAGGUGGCGCCGUAAGUCGGGUGUGAAAUUUCGGAGCUUAACUCCGAAAACUGCAUUCGAUACUGCGGUGCUUGAGGACUGGAGAGGAGACUGGAAAUUCAUGGUGUAGCAGUGAAAAUGCGUAGAGAUCAUGAGGAAGACCAGUGGCGAAGGCGGGUCUCUGGACAGUUCCUGACACUGAGACACGAAGGCCAGGGGAGCAAAACGGGG